CACAUGAAUUUUUUAAAUUUUUUUUUUUGAAUUUCAAGCUCACCUUCCCAACAACUCAAGUUACAACCAACCCUUGUUAGGGCCCCUGAACUGAGUGGUAAGAAGUGUUCGUUUCUGUGGGAGGCACCAUUAGUUCUCAGCAGAUGGUCUCCCUCUGCCACUUUCUUGCUCAACAUCUCACAGGGAAAGACCCUCAUGAUGAACAGUAGGUGUCUUCUGGUGAAUAACAAGGACCGUUUCCUUGUCCACCAUCCAGCGAGAAUUUCGCAACCCCUGUGCCUUCCUCUAGGCCUUCUUUUACAGGGCACUUCCAUUGCUGACUACAGGAAAGUUCCAAGCCCACUCCAUAAUUUUAUACCCAUGGAUUUUAAAAAGUGUUCUAUGCAAGUGUGUAGCAUGUGGACCGCUGUUCAUAACCAGUCUCCUUUAGACUCUAACUCAGCCCAAAAGAGACCAGCCAGCCUCAGACACAAGAUCCACACUGACGUGAAGGCAUAUUUGAAAACACUGAUGAUGACAGCUGUCAACAGUGAUGGUCCUGAACAGGAGAGAGUGUUGAUUUCACUUAGUUUCCUCCUG
rnacentral:lncRNA from 1 species